rnacentral:rRNA from 1 species
UGGCUCAUUAAAUCAGUUAUCGUUUAUUUGAUAGUACCUUACCACUUGGAUAACCGUGGUAAUUCUAGAGCUAAUACAUGCUAAAAACCCCGACUUCGGAAGGGGUGUGUUUAUUAGAUAAAAAACCAAUGCCCUUUGGGGCUCUUUGGUGAUUCAUGAUAACCUAACGGAUCGCAUGGCCUUGCGCCGGCGACGGUUCAUUCAAAUUUCUGCCCUAUCAACUUUCGAUGGUAAGGUAUUGGCUUACCAUGGUUUCAACGGGUAACGGGGAAUUAGGGUUCGAUUCCGGAGAGGGAGCCUGAGAAACGGCUACCACAUCCAAGGAAGGCAGCAGGCGCGCAAAUUACCCAAUCCCGACACGGGGAGGUAGUGACAAUAAAUACUGAUACAGGGCUCUUUUGGGUCUUGUAAUUGGAAUGAGUACAAUUUAAACCCCUUAACGAGGAACAAUUGGAGGGCAAGUCUGGUGCCAGCAGCCGCGGUAAUUCCAGCUCCAAUAGCGUAUAUUAAAGUUGUUGCAGUUAAAAAGCUCGUAGUUGAAACUUGGGUCUGGCUAGCGGGUCCGCCUCACCGCGUGCACUUGUCCGGCUGGACCUUUCCUUCUGGAGAACCUCAUGCCCUUCACUGGGUGUGUUGGGGAACCAGGACUUUUACUUUGAAAAAAUUAGAGUGUUCAAAGCAGGCCUUUGCUCGAAUACGUUAGCAUGGAAUAAUAGAAUAGGACGUGCGGUCCUAUUUUGUUGGUUUCUAGGAUCGCCGUAAUGAUUAAUAGGGAUAGUCGGGGGCAUCAGUAUUCAAUUGUCAGAGGUGAAAUUCUUGGAUUUAUUGAAGACUAACUACUGCGAAAGCAUUUGCCAAGGAUGUUUUCAUUAAUCAGUGAACGAAAGUUAGGGGAUCGAAGACGAUCAGAUACCGUCGUAGUCUUAACCGUAAACUAUGCCGACUAGGGAUCGGGCGAUGUUUCUAUCUUGACUCGCUCGGCACCUUACGAGAAAUC